CCUGUGGGCUCCCCAUUC
rnacentral:snRNA from 1 species